GUGAUAGCUGAUCUUCAAGAACGUAAACUGAGAGGAGAGCUGAUUGUGAAAGACUACUCGUAUCUUUUACAUCUCGAACUGAGUUAUGCAGUUCAUGAGGAUAUGAUAGGUCUCUGAAAAAGUGGGAAAGGUGGAAUUUGUCCUGAAGAAGAAAGAAAUUCUGUCUUGGAAAAAACUUGGACAGCCAUUGGAAAGUCAUAACUCCUUUGUCAAA